rnacentral:tRNA from 1 species
AAAAAAUUAGUUAAUUUAUAAUGAAGGAUUGUCAAUUCUUUGUUGCUUUCAAAAGUAUUUUUUG